rnacentral:rRNA from 1 species
UACAGAGGUCUCAAGCGUUGUUCGGAUUCAUUGGGCGUAAAGGGUGUGUAGGUGGCGCGCUAAGUCGGGUGUGAAAUUUCGGAGCUUAACUCCGAAACUGCAUUCGAUACUGGCGUGCUUGAGGACUGGAGAGGAGACUGGAUUUCAUGGUGUAGCAGUGAAAUGCGUAGAGAUCAUGAGGAAGACCAGUGGCGAAGGCGGGUCUCUGGACAGUUCCUGACACUGAGACACGAAGGCCAGGGGAGCAAACGGG